rnacentral:lncRNA from 1 species
AGGCCCGAUGGAGGGGACAAAUGUUGCCGACGAUGUUGACAAUAUAUACCCAAGUGGUCCAGGUAUAUCACUGUGCAAAUUUCAUGCUUUUUUAUGUGAUCAAUCAUAACUAACAGAUUUGAGCACAACCAUUUCUAAUGGAUCAAGCGUGUGACUUGUAGGGGUCUCCGUUGGAACGGAUGAUACUUGAACAGCCCGAUGGUGUUAACACAUGUGUUCAUCAACCUUCUCAUCUCAUGAUGCCUUAUUCUGUCUAAUUUUUCAUUUUAUUUUACAUGAUGCAGACAACCGUACAAGUUCAUUCCUAUAUAAUGAAGCUUCGUUGCCGGCUCCGAGUAAUCUGACACAGGAUUAUGGGACAGAUGUAGCACAAAGUGCAAAUGGUAAUACCUCAUACGUCUUGCAUGUGAUAUAAUUUGUGGUUAAAGGGGUUUAUGUUGUUCCACCCGGAUACUUCAUAUAUUAACAUAGCUUAUGGCAUUUAUGUUGUUCCAGUUGCUGUACAUGCUCAUGGUCGUGAUGCCUUAGAGGUUUUACCUCUGUCGGAUGCAACAUCCGAACACAUAACAACAGGAUCUGUCAUGAAAAAAACAUAACAGACGGAAAGAGGGAGCAGAAAAACGCCUGGAGGCGAGCUGCUUAUCGGAAGAAUAAAUAGAAUGGUGCGGUCAAGCUCCAAGCUGAAAAUCAUCCUGCCCUUACAAUGACUGGUAUGGUUAUUUAAUGUUUACUUAAUAUGAUCAACAAUGAAUACCUUGCACUUAUCCUCCGUCGACUACUCUCACAUCUGGUUUUAUUAAUGACAAAGAACUAUCUAGCAUCCAACUUAAUAAUGAGGAAAAGAGGGAGCAGAUAAAAGCUCGAAGGCGGGCCGCUUAUCGGAAGAAAGAUGAUGAGAGUUCCAUAAAGCUAAAUACAGAUGUGCAGAAUGUUGCACGGCAUCCUCUCGGUGAUAUCACUAAUGCGUAUCAACCAUCCUCUAUGGACGUUGACGAAAGAAAGGAGCUGAUAAAGGCGCGGAGGCGAGCUGCUUAUCGAAAGAGAAAAGAGGAGGCUACCGUCAAACAACAGAAUGAGAAUCUGUCUGCACUUACGAUAUCAGGUAAGAAUGUUUUAUGUGUCGGCGCUACAAUGAUAGUAUAAAGUAUAUACUCCUGAUUGUCCAUAAUAUAAGGUUAAUAUUGGAUGAAAAGUGAUGAGGGUACCAUCAAUGUACAAGCGGAUGUGCAAAAUGUUCCCAUAUCCCCUCCCGGUGAUAUCACUAAUGGGCAUCAACCAACCUCGUUGUACCUUGACGAGAAAAAGGAGCAGAUAAAGGCUCGGAGGCGAGCUACUUAUCGAAAGAAAAAAGAGGAGGCAGCCGUCAAGCAACAAAAUGAAAAUCUCCCUACCCUGACGAUAUCAGGGAAGUUGGAGAUAAACCCGUGUCCGUGACGUCUAUGUAUGUGUGUCCGUGUAGUAUACGAGUGCAUGUCAUAGUCGGUUUGGGUUGACUCUAGGUAUGAACUAUGGGUGCAGACGUUGGACCCAAACAGCUACAACAACAGAGAUAGAUGGGUAUCAAUCACUUCAAUUUGUUGACGAGUUAUAAGACGGCUACACACUAUGUUUUAUUUCUGGUUAACACCAAUUAGUUGAUUGCGUUAAUUACCUAUAUUUUUAUUGGCUGCAAAAGUUACAACUUUCUAAUCUAAGGUUGUAAUGCAUGAAGUUUACGGCCCGUGCAUUGUCGAAGACACAAACCAGGAACAUUGUAUGGAAAAGAGAG